ACCACCACCACCAUCAUCAUCCCCACCAUCACCGUCACCAUCAUCAGCAUCAGCAUCAUCAUAUAACAAAUUGGAACUUUUCCUAGUAAUGCAGUUUCCCAUUACUGUUAUGGACACAGGCUAUUCCUGUGAGCAACAGGGCUCAAGCCCGUAGGAGACACCACAGAAAAUGCUUUAAAGUUAUCGAACCAAAGGGUGAAACAGUUGAGAUUUUUUUUCCAGCUUUCCAUCUGUCAUUGAUUUGAUGGCUGCUUGCGAGGACAUUAAUUUUCUGGUGCUUCUGGCUUGCUCUGCGUGUCGGCCACGUGUGCUCCCUCAGCCAGAAAAAUAAAAAUAGCCCUUAUGUGAUUGCAGUAAGAAAACUUGAUCUUUUAGAGGUGAAUUCUGAGGGGAUACGAACACCGAAACCACAACAUCUUCUACGGAGGCACAUACCUGAAAUACGUCUGUCAUAAGACGGAUUCAAGCUGGCGGGCCCGGGUUUGAAUGCUGAUUUGCUACAUAAUCUUGAUUAAAGCUCGUAAAUUUUUAUAGCCUCGGUGUCUUCAUCUAUAAACAAAAACAAUGCCUCCAUUAAAGGACACUUGUACAGAUUAGAUGGGGCUAUGAAUGUAUAGAUUAACGCAGGAUUAAGCACUUAUGAUAGCCUAAUGACUAGAAACUUGUUGUUCAGUAUUUACUAAGUAUGUACUAUGUGCCAAGCCCGUGGUAGAUGUUAGAGACGGAGAUGAAUAAAACAAAUGCAAAACCU